rnacentral:rRNA from 1 species
CGAGACGCUGACGGCGUGCCGUAAUACUUGAAAGUCGAGCCGAACNGAUUAGAAGCUUGCUUCUAUGACGUUAGCGGCGGACGGGUGAGUAACACGUGGGCAACCUGCCUGUAAGACUGGGAUAACUCCGGGAAACCGGAGCUAAUACCGGAUAACAUUUUCUCUUGCAUAAGAGAAAAUUGAAAGAUGGUUUCGGCUAUCACUUACAGAUGGGCCCGCGGUGCAUUAGCUAGUUGGUGAGGUAACGGCUCACCAAGGCAACGAUGCAUAGCCGACCUGAGAGGGUGAUCGGCCACACUGGGACUGAGACACGGCCCAGACUCCUACGGGAGGCAGCAGUAGGGAAUCUUCCGCAAUGGACGAAAGUCUGACGGAGCAACGCCGCGUGAGUGAUGAAGGCUUUCGGGUCGUAAAACUCUGUUGUUAGGGAAGAACAAGUACAAGAGUAACUGCUUGUACCUUGACGGUACCUAACCAGAAAGCCACGGCUAACUACGUGCCAGCAGCCGCGGUAAUACGUAAGGUGGCAAGCGUUAUCCGGAAUUAUUGGGCGUAAAGCGC